rnacentral:rRNA from 1 species
AUUGAACGCUGGCGGCAUGCUUUACACAUGCAAGUCGAACGGCAGCGCGGGCUUCGGCCUGGCGGCGAGUGGCGAACGGGUGAGUAAUACAUCGGAACGUGCCCAGUAGUGGGGGAUGGCUCGGCGAAAGCCGGAUUAAUACCGCAUACGACCUGAGGGUGAAAGCGGGGGAUCUUCGGACCUCGCGCUAUUGGAGCGGCCGAUGGCAGAUUAGCUAGUUGGUGGGGUAAAGGCCUACCAAGGCGACGAUCUGUAGCUGGUCUGAGAGGACGACCGGCCACACUGGGACUGAGACACGGCCCAGACUCCUACGGGAGGCAGCAGUGGGGAAUUUUGGACAAUGGGCGAAAGCCUGAUCCAGCAAUGCCGCGUGUGUGAUGAAGGCCUUCGGGUUGUAAAGCACUUUUGGCGGGAACGAAAAGGACUGUGCCAAUACCACGGUUCGAUGACGGUACCCGCAGAAUAAGCACCGGCUAACUACGUG